GCCGGGUGUGGUGGCUCAUGCCUGUAAUCCCAGCACUUUGGGAGGCCAAGGCGGGUGGAUCACCUGAGGUCAGGAGUUCGAGACCAGCCUGACCAACAUGGUGAAAACCCGUCUCUA
rfam:Homo sapiens chromosome 1, GRCh38 reference primary assembly.